AUACGUAGGGGGCGAGCGUUGUCCGGAAUUACUGGGUGUAAAGGGAGCGCAGGCGGGGAUGCAAGGUGGAUGUGGAAUACCGCAGCUUAACUGCGGAGCUGCAUCCAAAACUGUAUUUCUUGAGGGAAGUAGAGGUAGGCGGAAUUCCCAGUUGUGCGGGGAAAUGCGUAGAUAUUAGGAGGAACACCAGUGGCGAAGGCGGCCUACUGGGCUUUAACUGACGCUGAGGCUCGAAAGUGUGGGGAGCAAACAGGAUUAGAUACCCUGGUAGUCCACACUGUAAACGAUGAUUGCUAGGUGUGGGGGGACUGACCCCUUCCGUGCCGGAGUAAACACAAUAAGCAAUCCACCUGGGGAGUACGACCGCAAGGUUGAAACUCAAAUGAAUUGACGGGG
rnacentral:rRNA from 1 species